UACGAAGGGGGCUAGCGUUGCUCGGAAUCACUGGGCGUAAAGGGUGCGUAGGCGGGUCUUUAAGUCUGCUGUGAAAUCCCCGAGCUCAACUUGGGAAUUGCAGUGGAUACUGGCAAGCUGGAGUACGGUAGAGGAAGGUGGAAUUCCCGGUGUAGCAGUGAAAUGCGUAGAGAUCGGGAGGAACACCAGUGGCGAAGGCGGCUUACUGGUCCGGUACUGACGCUGAGGUGCGAAAGCGUGGGGAGCAAACAGG
rnacentral:rRNA from 1 species